rnacentral:rRNA from 1 species
UACGUAGGGACCAAGCGUUGUCCGGAAUCAUUGGGCGUAAAGAGCGUGUAGGCGGCCUGUUAAGUCUAGCGUGAAAUCUCGGGGCUCAACCCCGAGCGGUCGUGAGAAACUGGCAGGCUAGAGUGCGGGAGAGGAGAGUGGAAUUCCUGGUGUAGCGGUGAAAUGCGCAGAUAUCAGGAAGAACCCCCGUGGCGAAGGCGGCUCUCUGGAACGCAACUGACGCUGAGACGCGAAAGCGUGGGGAGCAAACAGG